AUGAACUACUAGGUAUAUAAUUUUCCAUCGAGCACUUGAAAACAUAAAACAUUACACAAAGAGAAGCACUGAACAGUGCAUGUAAGAAUAAAUCCCACAUCCAUCAUAUACUAGAAGCUUCCACUUGAAUAGGAAAAUUUGUUUAUCCCUCACAGAUCAAAACACAAAACCUGAAGAAGAGAAGUAUUGGUUUCUCAUUGACAUAACAACAAACAGGAGCACAAAAUCAUAGUUAUUCGCCAAUGUCAGCACGGUGCAUCGUUCCAUUUUUCUCGUUGUUGUUGUUGUCUUCUUGGACUAUUGAAAGUGUUCUUCCUUGUCAUUUAUUGUCAUGGCCAAUAAUGCCUAAAAGUGCUCAUCCAGGUCUCCACUCUCCCGAAAUCCCUAACCCAUUAAAAAUCAAUAGAUUUACACAAUGAAUAUAGAAAUGCACGAAUGAAUCUCAUUCUCAAGAUCAGUGAUGAAGGAUGUAAUAAAUAUCAUUGAAAAAAAGCCAAAGCGUACAAUAAAUGAGAGCACAAAUAAAACAACGCCUUAGUUUUCCCAUGUUUCUUUGUGAUCCACAUUGGUUCUUUUCCUCAUUGAACUUUUCUUCCUAUGAAGUUAUGGUCCUUUUGAAUCUGAAGUGAUGAUAGACCGUUUUUUGCUAAACUGUCAUCACAUUUCUAGAGUGGUGGAGAAGGAGCUCAUGUCACUACUGAAUCAAUGGUAUUAGAAGUUCAUGUAAUAUAAGUAAAACAAACUAACUGAUUGUCAAGUGCUCCUAUGAACUAAAUUUAAAUUAGAAAUUAAAUAGAACUUAAUUUUUCUAGUGCUCCUAUGGGUAGUACACACACAACCUGACAAGGCACUGUACAAGUUCAUGUAAAAAGAACAACCAAGUUCAUAUAUAGUAAACAUUAUAAGUUCACAAAGAAACCUAAAAAGAGUUUUGUACUAUAUCUGCUAUAGCAACUAUAACAACCAAGUUAAUAUACGCCAUGGGGUCAGACUGGGAACACGCAAUGGAUCCUGGAGUGGUGGACAGGGGGUUCAUGUCACUACCACAUCAAUUAUGGCACCAGAAGUUCAUGGAAUAUAAGUAAAACAAACUAAUUGAUUUUUAAGUGCUCCUAUGAGCUGAACCUAAAUUAGGAAUUGAACUAAACUUAAAUGGUGGAAACUUAGGGUAAACCAGUCAGUUUAUACGAACUAGUUCUGCUUGGACUGAUACUUGGAUGGCUGCCAGUCACCAUGGUGGACGAGCUCGUGGCCAAGUGCGACCAAGGCGACCACCGGGAACUGUAGGUGCUUGUGCUUCUUCUCAGCAGCGAACUCACACAAGGUGUGCAUGAUUAGGGGAAGCAUGGUUCAUGGGUGGCCUUCAUCUUGCCGCCAGAUACGGGCUGCUGGCGCUCGUGGACGUCGUCGAUCGGACGCGGGGCAGCAUCACUCGUGGACAGAGAUCAAUAGAAGCUUUUCUAGCAAAGCAUUCUCUAAUGCAAAUCUUCCUAGCAACCUCAUCCAAUGCCACAAAUGCAUUAGCUCUGGUUUUAGUUGAAACUAAAUUUAGAUGAAAUGUGAGAAAAGCUGUUAGAAGGAUAAGAAACCAGUUCCAAGCAAGAAAAUAAACAAGUACAAGAAUGAGUAUAGCAAGAGGAGUUGCUGGCAUGUUUAUGUGAAUGCGUAUGUUUAUUCAGUACACCAUGUUUAUGUUGUUCAGUACACCAUGCUUAUGUUCUUCAGUACACCAUGUGAUGGAACUACAAACUCUUUUUCUCUCUGAAACAAGCAACAUUCACACAAACAUCCUACAUUUCUAGCGUCAGAAGUUACUUGUCAUGAACUGACAGAUUUACACAAGUAGACCAACCAAUGGCGAAAUCUACUAAAUGUUUAAAAGAAUCAGUAAUUUUGUACGAGUUGGGGAUUCAUGUGUUUCGUUGUACUGAAUUUAAUAACCAAAAUGCAUAUUCAUACAAGAAACAUCCAAAAAGAAGUUUAAGCACCUAGGUGGAAUAAAGUUGAAGCCGACAGCCAUGGACUACUGGUCGCGAUGAACUCGACCACCCUGAUGCCAUGGGGUUGGACUGAGGACGGCACACAUGCGCCCUUGACGGCGGCAGAGAACACGGGAGACUACAACUACCAGCACUACAAAAACACACAUCGACUCUGUAUGCAAAGACUACAACACACACACCCAUUCCUGAAUUGCAAAUUUGCAAUACAUAUUUACAUACUACAUCAAGGUGAUAUCUCUGUACUUACAAACUUUAUGUAAGGUGAACUCACAAUUUUUCUUUUUGAACUUUGUUUCUUUUUCUACGAACUGAUACAAACUUCCACCACAUACUUGUGCGAUUUUAUUUUCAAACAACACAAGAGAAGAGCUUUAUUUACAUCGUCGAUACAUGUCCAACCAUUUCAUUUCUGGAAAGAAAGCAAACAUCUUUAUCCUAUUUAUAUAACCCAACCCUUUUUUUUGUAGAAGUGAAGCACAUACUAGAGAAAAAACUAGAAGCUGGAUCGUGAAUAGUAUUAGAAGAUUAGUGCACACAUAAGAAUAAAUAGCAAAUACGAGUAUGGAGCAGCAGCAGUACGGAUAUGUAAAAGUUCUAGAAUUUGAUUAAAAAAUGAAGUAGCUUGAUCUCGUAAGUACUACCGUAACUAGAUACAUGUAAAAGUUAAGUGAUAACAAGUUCAAAAGAAAUUCAGAAAAUGAAACCGAAUUGAUGGGCUUAUUUCAUGCAUUAAAUUGUACUCCCUCCAUCCGAGAAAACUUGUCCCAAGCUUGUUCCUCAAAUGGAUGUAUUUAGCACUAACUUGAUGCUAGAUACAUUUAUUUGAGGGACAAGCUUUUCCGGACGGGGGGAGUACACCAUAGCGUAUUGUCUGGAUGUACACGAUGGAGUCGGCGGGCUGCACGUCGAGCCACGCUGUGAAGAGAACUGGUGUCGAAAGAUUCAAUCUCGACGGGCUGGGAGCAUGCCAUUGCUGCAAUCAGAAAUUUUUACCAUUGAUUUCUAAACAAUAGGUACAAGAAUCACCAAAAUUUGGACUGAAGCUCUAGGGAUUUUAGCUCAAAUAACAAAUGUGUUUAAUUUUAGAGAUGAAACAUAGUUGAACGUUCUUCAGUGUGAUUUUCCGCAUAAGGAAAAUCGCAGAAGCAACAUAGUUGGACUGAAGCUCUAGCGAUAUAGUUGAACUUAGGAAAUUUUCUGCCGGCCGGCCCUAUGAACAACUUACCAUUGAUAAACAAUGCCCAACCUCAGCGCUAGCGUUCUUCAAGUUACAUUUAAGAGGAGACAAAUUUUUUGUUGUGUUACCGUUGACAAGAGCUAAAGUAAUUACAAUUAUCCUAACCAGCAUAUGCUCAAACAAGUUGAAGUUUCUUUUACUUGGGAACAACUUCAGUUCAGGUGUCUCUCCCAUAAAUAAAUUUUAGUUUAGGCUUAAGAGACAGUCAGUCUGUGUUAACUGAAAACAACUCAAGUUUAACAUGGCACAUAUCCUAGAGAUACAUGCUUCUCAAGCCUGAACAAAGGCACGCAAUUUGAUUUUUCAGUGCAUUGUAGGCAAGAACGGAUCCAAGUCAGAACUGAUGCGAUUUAUUCCAUCAAACUACUAUGAAAGUUUCUCUAUACUAUUACGUUUUUAACACAAAAGUAUUGAACUGUUUGCUGCCUUUCCAUUAUGAAUUGAUGGUGUAAUACAUGUUGAACUGUUACUCAAGAGCAAAUUCAGAAAUACAUACACACACACACACACACACACACACACACACACACACACACACAUAUAUAUAUAUUGGUGCACUCCAAAUAUGUGCAUUUUCAGGAACAAAACUUUCUGAACCUUCUAUACGAAAGAACUUGAACAAUCAGUCCAAAACAUAUUUGAAGUUGAACGAUCAUUUUCCUUACCGAGUGUUAAAGAAAAUUAAACAAGAGACGAGCUCGCCGGAGAACUUGGACUGAAGAGCUUGCACACGGCGCGCUACAUGGGGGUAAGGGAGGGCGGUAGUGCGUGGGGUUUUGAGGUGGCGAAUGGAAGUGGAAGCAAGGGAGAACAUCAUUUUCUUAGGACUUUAUCCUGUUUUCAACGCUAGUACACAGUCCCUGUACGUGCUAUUCUCCCAUAGGCAUUAACAUAAGCACCAUGUGUUUUAGGAAGAACAAGGCACUUGAAUCAGAAUAGACACUGAAGAAACUCGCUACAAAAAAUUACUUAUUUAGGUGAUAUAUGUAAACUUACAGAAUUUCAAAACAUGAACUAAUGAUAUUUUUGCACACGCACCAACUAGUUUGUAUUUUUUCAUGAACUGAUGAUAGAGUACACACCAAACUAAUAUUAAGUUUAUUACAGAAAUUCUCUAUUCAUGAACUGACAAUAUAUAUUCUUUGUGGACUGAAGAAAAGAGAACAAAAAUACACACGGAACAAACGAUAGAAUACACACUGAAGAAAAAAAGAAUUUCUUCUCUGUGAACUGACGAAGGUUUUUUCAUGGCAGGCAGUACAAGAAUGACUAGGAAAAAAAAGAAAAACAGAGAAUUUAGUGGCCAAAAUCACUUUAAUAACUAGUGGCAGUCUCUGUGGUUUACCUCCUAUUUCCAUACCACAUAGAUGGGUCUGUUGGUAGCUAUAACUGCAGAGAGAGAGAGAGAGAGAGAGAGAGAGAAAGAGAGAAGAAAUUGGCAAAAAUAUAUUGUUUCUCUUUCUGCUCAGACAUUCCACACAAACAGGCCAAGUGCACAAGUUGAACUGAUCUUGUCCAUGACACGAACGGGGGCUAGUGCUGCUGCUAUACGUGCACGAGCUUCAUGAGAGGUUCAACGGGAGAAGGGUGGAGCCAGUUUUCAAAUAAGGAUAUGCACAAAGAACUUGGCAAGCAAGUCUGAGAAGCAAAAUAAGUUCUAGUUGGCUAACACAAGAAACAAAGUGAAACCAUAUACUUAGCUACUCUUUCCAAGGAGGUAGUAACAUUGAAUCAUUCUUGAAGAAAGAUAUCUAGAUCAGAAGUUCAGAAGUUGAGCAAGGACAUGCUUUUUGAAGUAGUAUCUAUAGUAAUUUGCUACCUUGCUUUUAGGUCAAAAUACAGUAUUUGAAAACUACCUCCAAGUUACCAAAUUGAAAGGUUGUAACGAUGAUACCUUAUGCUAGAUGAAUUAUAUGGUUGAAACAGAGACAACUAAAAGAAUAGGAAUACACGGCCAACCUUGCCAUCGAUGAUGGACUUGCUUGUAGCGCAUUCCUCCUCCGAUUGUUGUUGGAUUGUUGUCGGAUUUUGAG
rnacentral:lncRNA from 1 species